rnacentral:misc_RNA from 1 species
AAACCGAAUCCCCUGAUAUCAUCAGCCAUGGCACCAAUAGGAAAUGUGACCUCCACAGACGACCUGUCACCAUCUUACUCAGCUACCAUGGCACCAUACAGCGUAACCUCCGCACAGUAUGAACCAACGUUUUACACAACACUGGCCCCCACCUCAGCAGGAUUUGGAUUAAGUGAGUGUAUGGACUGGCUGACACUAGUUUGUGUGGGCGUUGGUGUUACAAUUGAGUUUCUCGUAGUUCAUGGCUUUAACUAGUAGUAGUAUUUCCCACCUACCAACCCCAGCACAACCUAGCCAAUGAAAGACCGAGCACCCACGACCCUAUCAAUUGUUUCAAAAGACCCCCUUUUCAAGUACGUCUUUCAAUUUACCAGCCUGCAGUCCCUCCUGGGGUAGGGGGAACCCUGCCACUGUUGUAUUUGUAUGUUAUCAGGGGUGCGUUCGAGUGAGCUACUCAAUUUGACACGAGUAUACUCCUAAUCACUCUAAUGGCUGGAAUAUGACCUGUGGGUCAGUGAGAGAAUACUCUGGGAGGCGGCAUGGGAAGAACCCUGCCAAUGUGGCAUAGUGCUCCAAGCUGUCAGGGGUGUGUCUGAGUGAGUUACUUGUGUGACUCCUGAGUGCUGGAACGGUUGGAGUACAAUUCGUGGGUCAGCAAUACUCCUGCACCUGGGUGUAAUGCACAUGCAUGCAUCCUACUCAUGUUAACUGGAGUAACCACACAAAUGCACCCAAUGAGUUUGGGAGUUAAAGCAUAUAAUGACAAUUGGAGACAUUACAAUGACCCCUGACGAGCUGCUCUGUGAUGCCUCCAAUGAUUUUGAAAUCCUCUCACGGGAAAAGCCCUGAACACCCUUCAACUAACAUUUAAAAAUCACAUUUUUUCUUUUUAUUUAGGGUGCAACAGAAGCAGGCAGCAGCAACAACACGGGCCCGUUCAAUUGACAGACAUGCCAGGUAAAGUGAAAAUCCACACACGUAAACAGUAAAUUGGAUCAACUCGGCAUUCAUAGGGCAACUAUUCACUGGUGCUGUUCAGCAAAUUUCAUAGCUUACAUUUUGACAACAUACGUAUGGAGAGCGAAAGAAAUGGCUUCUGGAAAAAAUUUAUGAAGGUCUAACUUAAA